rnacentral:rRNA from 2 species
AGAAUUUGAUCCUGGCUCAGGAUGAACGCCGGCGGUGUGCCUAAUACAUGCAAGUCGAGCGCACUGGCCCAACAGAAAUGACGUGCUUGCACUGAUUUGACGUUGGAUUCCCAGUGAGCGGCGGACGGGUGAGUAACACGUGGGCAACCUGCCCCAAAGCGGGGGAUAACAUUUGGAAACAGGUGCUAAUACCGCAUAACUUGGAAAACCACAUGGUUUUCCAAUAAAAGAUGGUUUCGGCUAUCACUUUGGGAUGGGCCCGCGGUGCAUUAGCUAGUUGGUAAGGUAACGGCUUACCAAGGCGAUGAUGCAUAGCCGAGUUGAGAGACUGAUCGGCCACAAUGGAACUGAGACACGGUCCAUACUCCUACGGGAGGCAGCAGUAGGGAAUCUUCCACAAUGGGCGCAAGCCUGAUGGAGCAACACCGCGUGAGUGAAGAAGGGUUUCGGCUCGUAAAACUCUGUUGUUGGAGAAGAACGUGCGUAAGAGUAACUGUUUACGCAGUGACGGUAUCCAACCAGAAAGGUCACGGCUAACUACGUGCCAGCAGCCGCGUUAUUAA